GCCCUACGGGACGCAGCAGUGGGGAAUAUUGCACAAUGGGGGGAACCCUGAUGCAGCGACGCCGCGUGGGUGAAGGAGUAUUUCGGUAUGUAAAGCCCUAUCAGCAGGGAAGAACAAUGACGGUACCUGACUAAGAAGCACCGGCUAAAUACGUGCCAGCAGCCGCGGUAAUACGUAUGGUGCAAGCGUUAUCCGGAUUUACUGGGUGUAAAGGGGGCGCAGACGGCGAUGCAAGCCAGGAGUGAAAGCCCGGGGCCCAACCCCGGGCCUGCUCUUGGAACUGCGUGGCUAGCGUGCAGGAGGGG
rnacentral:rRNA from 1 species